CUGAGUUUAAGGACUGAGUGUCUGGGUAAAGUAAGCUAAAUGCAAAUAUUUCCCAAGUGUGGUUAUAGUAAUAGUUCUCUGCUCCGAGCUCUUAUGUUACAUAUAUACAAGCAUGCAUGAGGGAAUAUGUAUGUGCGCAUGCAGUUUUUUUAUGUAAAGCUUUAAAUAUUUACUUCCCAAGUAAACUUUUGACUUGAAACCUUUGAGCAACUGUUGGGAAGAGCAAGACCACUGACUGCCAGCAUAGGCUUGGCUGGACAAGGCCCUGAAGAGCCUCUCCAAGUCAACCCCAUUUGCACUGGGAUCAGAGCAGGUGAGCUCCAGGUCCUUCCCAGGCAAGCUGUUCUGUACACCCUUGAACUGUGAUGCUGGUAGGAAAAGUUAGCAACAGGGAAGCACACAGAGCUUCAGAACAUGUGUAGAGACUGUAAGAACUUUUGUUCACAGAGCAGAGUACUAACAGAAAUGAGAAUGGAUCAAAUACAUGUCACAUUCUCUUUUUUAGCAUCAAUAUCUGGUAACAAAGUUAAUUUGGUUCUUAAAGCCAGAGAAGACAUUCAGCUUUUCAGGACAUGGUCUAUUGGUAUCCCAUAACACAGCACCUACAUGUUCCCAUGACAUACACAGUGAGUACUCUUCAGAAAAAUGAAUUAUGACUGUGUUUAUACUGUGUACGUAUUAUAUAGAUGACAUGUAACUAUGCUGCUAUAUGAAUUCCAGGAUGUUUCCUUCCAAUUUCAUUUCUGCCAAAAGGCUUGAGGGGAAAUCUGAGAAGGGGGAGGAAAACCUGAUGGAUGAUUGGUGGCAGCAGACCAGCUCCUGCACAGUUUUUUGUCAGUCAGCAUCUCUGCAAGGAGACAACAUCCCUGUAUUUGUCGGUUCCUCAGUUAUGCUAUUGCACUCAUUCCCACCCAGCUCACCUGAAGCACGUAUCACCUUGAUGUGUACACUGCAGUCAAAAAAGCUGUAUUUUCCAGCCUGUUUUUUCAGGUGUUUGAGGUAAGUGAGCUCCCACUGACUGCAUCAGGUGAGGAAGAACUGACACCAGCAGAUCGCAGCCCAGGGUGUGACACUAUGGGUAUUUGUCAGCAGUAGGGCUGUAAGAGACUUCCUGACUCCAUCCAUUCCAUCUUGCAGCAUCUGAAAGCCUCAGAACUUGACAACUGUUUGCAUGGUUACAGCGGACUGUUUAGAAAGGAAAUCUCCUGCUUGCAGCAGGGUAUUGCCAAAAUAGAACUUGGGGCUUAUGGCUGCUGCAGCAGUGGCCUCUUUAGGCUGAGACUACAAGCAAGUGUGAGCACAUGGUCUUAGUUUGCAGAGAAAUGCUCAGUAUAUUGUUAGUAAGAUACAGUCCCAUCGUAUCUAUUUAUAUCUCUGUGAAUGGAUCCUUACCCCAUGAAUACUUUUUUCCAGUGUUUGAGGACAAGUGGUAGAAAGGCAGAAAAAAAAAAUCUUAAAUUUAGCAGUGUUUCACCUUUUUACCUUAAAUUUCACAUUGCUUUAACCAGCUUGAUUUGAGCCUGAAUAGCUACAGAAAUGCUUACAGCCAUUCCCAGCAGUGAGAUUGAGGAAAGCCUCACCUGUGUCUCCAAACUCAUGUUUUGGGGCUGUUCAAAUGCCAUCAGCUUUGGUUAGGCUGAAACUCCUCACUGCAAAACUUUGACAAGUUCCUCUGCCAUGCCAUGGUGUCACCAAGCCCCCAGGUGCCCAGAGAACCCUCCCCAUGGCACUGUGCCCUACGGACAUGGAUGUCACCAAGUUUUACCACGUGCUCAGAGUUUUCCUUGUUAGUAAGCUAAAUGUCUUCAAAUACAAUCGAACUUUCACAAGGAGCAAUGUCACGCAGCAUAAGGACACUCAUCAGCUCUGAGCAAGAGGGCUCGCUCUCUCCCUCACAUGAAGGACUGCUGAAAAGCCAGACUUGCUGUGGAGGUGCGGGUGCCAGAAUCAACACAAGCCAAUAAACCAGCUGCUCCAACUCGACCACAGCAGCAUUACAGCUGUUUCACUGCCACCUCUCUAAGACACAAUAUUAAGACAACCAGCCAGAUCACUCUUAAAAAUGGGCUGUCACAGUCCAAAUGACAUCCUGAAGAUGGCAAGGGUCCUGAUUUGAUCUCUUACUGUUAACAACCACGUGGAGGAAAAAAAAAGAAAAAAGAAAUAAGAAAAAAGAAAAAAGAAAAAAAAAGGAAAGGAAGGAACAGUGUAAGCAGCUGAAGGGAGCAGCUCCCAUCCUUCCCUCUAUGCCUCUCUGGAAGAAGUGGUGCCCGGUGAGUGCAGCCUCCCACUUGCACUGCUCCCACCCUGCUGGCAGCUCCUGUGGUUCUCCCUAGGCACUUGGCAAGAAUCAGUGUUUAAUCCCUGGUCUCUCAAUGUACACAAUACCUUGAGGGUCUCAUGGUUUAAUCUCCUUUGGGUAAUGACUCCUGACAAGACUAAUGCUUGGCAAAGGUCAAGCUGCUGGUUAUUGAAAGCAGGAUUUCCCUCCAUUUACAAAAAAAAUUCUGCCUGACCUUUGGCUUGUUGGGCACAGUGUGGCUGUUUUCACAACCGAUAAUCACUGCCAGGUGGGCAUAUACACGUGCAUGUGUCCAUAUACACACAUGGUUCAUGUGUGUAAAUGUCAGCUAGACAUAUCCAUAUUACUCAAACCAAUGGUAUAUGACAGGACAGAUCACCACCAAAAUAAGGCAAACUUUACACCCCUCCAUGGCUCUUUGUAUACAUAUGCAUACACUAAAUUAUUCUAAUGCUUACUAAGUGGUAAAGGGAAGGGAGCUUGGUAGCUUUAUUUUUGGUCUUUUCCAAGAAUAUUGGUCUAAUGUUCUCGUGAUAUUUUUGCAGCUUUGUCCAUCAAGAACCUUUCCAGGGUGAGACAGAAGUUUAUAAGCAGCAGACUCUCUCCAGAUCCUCUCUGGGCUCUGCUUUCAUUAUGUGGAGUAUUUUAAUUAUCAUGUAUUUCUGCUCGUAAUUCUGUUUUUGUAUUUUAGAACCAAGAAUCUAACUGACAGUUUUGUAAAUCAGCAGUGAGACAAGAUAAUGUUUAUAAAACCCCUAGUUGCUACUAUUCCACAUGUAAGAGCCCUGAAAAUGGGUCAUAGCAAAUGCUUAGGAGGUAAUCCGUCUGGUCCUUUCUGCAUCUUAGUGGUAGAAAAUGAUCAAAAUGGGGCAUUGCACAGAUCAUUUUUUAACCUGCACAGAUUACAAAACUACACAAAUUUGCCUCAGAGAAGAGACUUGAACUUAGGACCUCAAAGCUGCUGUGGUGUUUAAAUCCAUUCAACUUUAUUUUUGAGAAAUUAGAUCUUUUGUGCAAUAACAGGUAAAGUUUUCCAUCAAAGUUUACACAACAUGUAGAAUAAAGCCUCACUUUCAUUGCCCAUACUGGGCAACAGCUGCCCAUCGCUCCUUUCUAGCAGGAGAAAUGGAGGACUUAUAUCACAAGACUUUGGGGUAACUAAGCAUCUGUGGUUUCUUAGACCACUGGGGAAAAUCAGUGCUGGCAUCACUUCUCUAGUUACUGCCUUAAACCUACAUCAGGCACAUUCCACAGACUGGCUUCAGGGCUGCCACAAGGUCAAUCCCAGGCCCCAGCCACCCUGUCCCGGUGUUCCUCUGCUGCUGUGUGAGGGAGCCAGCUCUUGGUUGGAUGUGACAGGGAAGGACAUCUGGUGUAUAAGAGAGUAAUUUAGAAACAGUGCUUCAGUCUGAAUGAUUUAAUCAUGAAAGUGGGUGUAAUUGGAAAUCAUCUGCCCAUGACCAAUGUGACACUAUUAGGGCAGAAUGCAAUGACUUCUGAGCGCUUUGGAUAAAUACUCCCUGACAUUUCAAGAGCCAAAGUGGAGUGAACUGGCCUGGCUGCCUCUGACGAGUGGUUCAGAAGUCAUUUUCUUGAACAGGCCAGAUUGACCACACAGCAGCAGGUGUGUGAUGGUUGCAGCUGUAAGCUUAGGCUUGUGCCUUUCACUCAAUUGCUGGGAGCUGAGUACUACUGCUGCAGAAGAAUGCUGCCAUAUAAAAGACAUGCACAGAAAGAGUAGGAAAGGGCAGAUACAUCGCAGAAACUAUUGAAAGGCAAAGGGAAAUUGGAGCUUGGGCUGACAUUUUCAGAGCUAAAUGAAAAGUGUUAAGAGGUGAGUUAUAUUUGCCUAAUCGCUAUAGGAAAAGGUAGCUUGUAUAUACUCUAGAUUUUAACUAGUCUUUUUCUACUGCCUUGUAAUCACCUCUAAACUGACUCAAAGCCUAUUGAGUAGUUGUGAGACCUUACAGUACCCCAGCCUGGCCCCACAAGGACCUGUGGCAGAAAGGUAGGUGGGGCUGCAGAGAAGUUGUUCAAGGAUAAAAUCAAAGGAAAGGUUACCAGGAAUGAGGUCUUUUGUUUGAAUGCAAUUGAUUAUUGGUGAGGAUUGGUACAGUGACAGCUCAUCGCCUUUCAUCCCCUUGCCUAGGUUUUCGAGUUCUUAGUUGCUGCUUUGAUAAAAUGCAUAGACUGAUAAAAGGCUUGUGUUGAACUAAUGCUCUGGGAUAAGAUAAAAAGGAUAUUUUUGCUGAAAGCUGGGAAGGAUUGCUUCACAACAGAUAUUUCAGUCAUUGCUAGAUACAAGGUCUUCAUCUUUAUUAUGAGAGGCACAUAAGAUGCAUCUACUUUUAUACAGAUAGUUCUGAAUAUCUAUCUGAGAAUAUUUGAUCUAGAGAAGCAAACUGGAGCAGGCUGGUGGUGAUUCAGGUUAUUUCCGUGCCAUAGCUCCCACUUGAUGACCCCCAGCCUCUAGUUCAGCAGCUGCUGCAUUGCAGCCCCCAGGCACCCACCAAGACCUCAGGAGCUCCCACUCCCUUCUUCGCUCACUGCGCAUGUGAUGUGAGCAGAGGCAAUGUAUUUUUCACCGAGGUUUGCAGGCUCCAAAGGUCCCAGUGCAGAGCUGUUCUGCUGCCUUUGAGUGCCCAAAGUUCAUAAAAAGAAAAAAAAAAAAUCAAACUUUUCCUCCUUCCCCCCAGUGUGCUUGAUGAGAUCUUAUCUUCAGGCAGAUCGAUAACGAAAAUGCUGCUGCUUUCAGUGGACUCAUAGUUUUACCCAGGAACAUUACCCAAAUUAAUUCAAGAACUAUCCUGAUAACUCCCGAAGCAUUGCCAUUCAUUGAUCUGAGUUGCAGAAAAUGUUGCAAAAUCCCAUCCUUUGGGAGGUUUAAUGAACACAAUCCACCUACUCCAGUUGUGGGCUCUGAAGACCCCAAAGGAUUUUUCCCUUCUUAUUCUGAUAGCUCCUAGCAACAGUACUUCUGCUUUCUGUCAGUAAAGCAUCUGCUCUUUGAACCUACAAGUUUCCACUAUUUAUAGUUCCUAAAAUCUUUGCUAAUUGUACAUUCCGUAAGAAACGCCAUCAUAUGAAGCCUGAUUUGCUGAGUACAAUGUUCCCCUUCCUUUGCCAUAUUGGAUUACAAGCAAUUACACCUUUAAUCUAAUGUAAUAUGAAACUAAGGUCACACAAUUAUUUACGCAGUGAGCAAUUGCAUGGCAUGAAAUAUGUAUCUGCUGUAUGGGAGUCCAAAGUUUGGAUCAGUCUGUGGCUUCCCAAAACAAGAGUAAGAGAAAGGUAAUGUAGUGUCAUGAAUAUCACUAAGUAGGAGAAAAAAAUAAUUGGAUGAUCAUUCUUGCUCAGAGCAAAUAUCCUCAGUGAACCUUUCAGCAGUCACUAAGCGUUAUUCUCUCCCCCCCUCCACCCCAUUUCCUUACUACCACCAAACUUUGUUCAGUGCAAGGAAGAGGCAGCUGUAUGGGACCAGGUGGCAGCAGCAGGCCUUGGAGCUGACCCAGGGUCCAUGAUGGAUGGGAAUAGCUCACAGCAGCCGAACCAUGAGCGGCGGAACGCUUUGCUGAACGGGAGUUUUCAUCAUACUGCCACGCUGCUUGACCUCCAAAUGCGCCGACACGCUGCAGUAUCACUUAGACUGGGAAAGAAUGUUGCUGCGCUAUUGCCCAGGAGAUUCAGGAGGAUCCCAUUACAGCUAGGCGGUGCCUGUGUGCAAUGGCAAAAACCAAGCCAUGCCCUGACCACUUUGCCCUACUUCCUGAGGACAAGCCAGCCCCACACUAGAUGUCUGCCUCCCUGGAUUCCCGUCACUUGAGCGUGCCUUGAUGUUGUGGGAAGGGCUGUGGUCAGAAGCAUGAAGAUGAGGAGCAUCCAGCAUGCAGGUAGCAGCAGCACUGCUCUCAGGGCUGCUGAAGCCUCUCUAGUGAUGCCUUCCCCCUGUUUAUUUCUGGCCAGAGAUAUACUCUUUCAUACAUGUUUUGUAUAUCCCUUAGCAUCAUUUUGUGCUUGCUUUUCAAUGCUAAAAGUCAAAAUAUACAGUGAAAAUCCAGGGCACACGCUUCCAGAGAGGCUAUGGAUGCAAUCAGAGAAUCACAGAAUAAUAAAACAUCUCAAGUUGGAAGAGAGGAGGACCAUUGAGUCCAACCGCUGGCUCCACACAGCACCACCCAGAAUCCAAACCCUGUCUCUGAGAGCAGUGUCCAAACGCACCUUGAACUCCCAACAGCUUGGGGCUAUGCCCACCGCCCUCUGGUGCAGACCCUGUCCCUAACCCCCACUGCCCCUCCCCUGACACAGCUCCAUGCCAUUCCUUCGGGCCCUGUCGCUGUCACAGAUUGCAGAGCUCAGCGCUGCCCCUCCACUCCCUGUGAGGAGCUGCAGCCACCAUGAGGCCUCUGUUAAUCUCUUUGCUCUGGGCUGAACCAACUCAGGGACCUCAGCCACUCCUCAUGCACCUUACCUUCCAGACCAUUCCCCGUCUUCAGAGCCCUCCUUUGGAUGCUCUGUGACAGUUUUAUGUCCUUCUUACGUGGUUGCACCUAAACCUGCACCCUGUGCUUGAUGUGAGACUGCACUAGCAGCCUUGCCGAGAGAUGAGUGAAGGAACAAAUCUCUGCCUCUCACCAGCCCCAGUGUUUUGAUAUAGUCCCUAAGCACAGAUGUCUGCCAGUGGCAUAGAGUGCCCGGCAUUGUUUCAGCCAUCCACACUCACUAAGCUGUCAGCUCCCUGUGCCACUGGGUCAUCUGGGCAUACGGGUCUUAUUCAAAUCCCCAUUCUGUCAAAUGAAGUCAGAGUGCAAGCAAUGUUUAUACUGGGGUUUGGCUCUCUAUCAGCAGUGCUUGCUCCAGAACAGGCUUGCCAGCUACCCCUCCCAGGCUUUUGGAUACAGUUGGGUUGGCAGAUCCUGUGCACUGCUUCACUGUGUUGCAAAAACCAUGAGAAUGAGAGGUUUUUGGCCCCAGACUGGUGGUCCUAUGGCUGGGUUCACGGCAUCUGCAGGGACGGGUGGCUGUGAUACAGGAUGAGGGAACAAAAGCCGAGGAAAAGAAGGAAAUCCUCCAGUCUCCAGUACAGAUGCUGAGGAAUGUGUGCCAUAAACCAAACCCAGAUGUCUUGACUGAUGAGCAAGCGCUAUCUUUAAUCUCUUAUCUUUCCAGCUUUGAGUUUCAUCAUCAUGCUAAGCGCCCCUAUCCUUACACUAGUCUAAUGAUUACUUUCUCCAAAGGGUUGAGGCGUGAUUCAGAAGCAGAAUGGUGACUCCUCACAUCAGAUUGAGUUACCGUCUGUCUCACACACGCUUUAGCUACAAGCUGCUAAAUAGCUUCCACGUCUGAAAAACACAGCUGGCACCCAGCUUCAAAAACACCGCUGCAGCCACCAGCAAGUAGGUAAGUCAGGGCAAGGAGCUGCCUUCACUGACAGCACAGUGCUGCAGAGAUGCAGUGACUAUGGCUCGGAUUUAAACUGCUUCCUUCCAGAACUCAAGCUCUGUGGAUUAUUUUUUUAUAUAUAUAUAUAUAAAUAUAUGCGGCACUCUAAAACGCUAUACAAAUGUAAUGCUUUUAUGUAGGAAUGUUACACGUCACCACUACACACGCUCAAAGCAGCAUCAUGUCAAGGCGAAGGAGGUAGUGCAGAGAACCAUUAAGUGCCAUUUCAUGUACGCGCAGGUGGUUCAUUCGAGAGAGAAAAAUGGAGAUGUCAGGAGGAAUGAGUGAUGGAGGCUGCCGGCAGGCAGCAGAGCCCCAACCACAGCCACAGUGUGCCUGGGGGAGGAGAGCAAUGCUUGUCCCUGCUUCGUCUGCACUAAUUUGGUCUCCAUACUGAGUGUAAAAUGAGAAAAAAAUGAGAUACCUGGACUACGGAAUUAGGUUGGCUUCCACAGAGUAUGGAUAGAAAUGUUUUAGCAUGGCUAAUAUUUGUGAAACCUUUCAAAGACGUGAACGAGAUGCUAAGUUGUAUUAGUGCAGCUCCCUCAGGAUGCAAUAAUUUACCUGCUUGCAGGCAGCACCAAUCACACGUGGUACCACUGGUUGACUGAUACCCCCAGAUGUACCUCCUCAGGGAGGCAUCCCCUUACUGUAAGUCACUGAAACUCCCUGAGGGGAAGUGAGAUGGGGGAUGUGACAUGCUUGUCCCAGGAGUGGAGUCAUCUGCCACCCAGCAGCUCUGCAGCAGCCAGAGCAUCCACAAACAGAUAUUGGAGCUGCCAGAAAUGUAUGCCUCAGCAGCAUGAGGAGCAGGAGGUGGUCACAGCCUUAACUCUGCUGGGGACACUGAUGUCUAUGGUGGCACUGGCAAAAUGGAGGUGGAGGUAAUUGUCUUUUGGAGCAUAGUGCUUUCCAGCCGCUUUAUUUGAAAAAUGUAACAUCUAUAUAUGCUCACUCUUUCAUAUACAUUUGCAUAUAGGCUCACACACAUACAAAGAGCUCUUCCCAGCACAGGGGAGGAAGCAAGCCAGGCUACAUGAAUAAUGAAAUGGAAAAGUUGCCCAGGGAUGCACUCCCAGACAGCUGUGGUUGCUGUGACACUGCUGUGGAAGCGUCACCUUCUGAAUUCAGAGAUUUUGGAUAACAAAGAAAGCCUUGUAACUGACUUGGGUAUUUACCUUUAAAAGCAAACAUUAAUGCUAUUUCAACUGUCAAAAUAGAGCCCCAUCACCCAUUUGGGCUUUUAUCCUCCAACCAGGGGCACCCCCAAAGUCUCAGCCAGGAAGGUGGCUGCUCCAUGACACCCCCCUGCCACUGCCUCCUCUGAGAUCCUGGGAGCCAGGAACCUGCCCUGCUGGCAAAAAGUGACUGAAGAGGCUGAGACAUGCAUGCAUCCCCCUUCUCUGAAUGAACAGCAGUUCAGCUGAAGAAAUAUUUUUAAAAGCUGUUCCUUCCAUUUCUUAUUCUCAGCCAGGAAUACCAACAGAUGUGGCAGCAGGGGAGCUCCAAGGUGAAGAUGGAGACAUCCUAGCUGGGGCCCCCAGGCUGCCUCACUCACUUCCCCCUGGGAUGUUGCCUGGAGGCCCCAAGGCACAACCCCUUCUGCUCUCCCUGCAGGUUCUGUAGUGCCUGCUCUCCCUGCAGGUUCUGUAGUGCCACCUGUAUCACCUGGUGGGGAUCCUUCCCCACCAUCUGUCUGCCAGGAGGAGGGAGAUGUCACAUGGGAGCUUCAUGUUUUGCUCUCAGUAGAGAAUUAGCCAUGCUUAUUUGACUGAUAAAUAAUGAGACUUCAUUCAUUAAUGUCAUAGGCAGCUCCGAGGAAAACAGCUGAUGCUGCUGGGACGGAUGCUGCUCCCCUGAGUCAGGCCACCUUUGGCCUUGGGCAAUGUUGAGGGUAAUGCUGUGCUUGGUUUCAAAGGCAGCAUGCAGUAACAGGAGCAGCACUGUACAGUGGCCUUGGCUAAUGUGUCUCACACUGGGCAUGAAUUACAUCCAACCCUGAGAUCAGACUCCUCCUCGCCAAGAGAUCAUACUGCCAGUAAUGCUCUUAAGAGAGGAGUGAUUGCAGACUCUGAGCCAUGAGGCAACUAUGACCAAACUCAAAUCAUGCACUAAAUCAAUUUAAAUAGAUCUAUGUAACCUGUGCAAGCAUGUGCAUAGAACUUACCCAUAUAUUGACAUGUUUUCAGUAAUUUCAGUCCUUGGCAGCUGAGUCUGCCUAUUUCAGCCUAGCCUCUCUAGCAAAGCUGCUUUAGCUUUGAGAUCUUUUUUACCCAUACAUCGUGGGUAAAACAAGCGCUUCCUCUCCUGUGUAAGGAUGUUCCCCAACUGGAUAGAAUGGCCUGCUGGCAGGGCUUUUCUGCCUGAGGAACUCGUGCUGCCAUGGAAGUGCUGGUGUGGGAUGGCAGCUACUCACAGUCCCAGCAGCCACAGCCACCCCUCAGCAUCUGGGGACAGGUGUCACUUCUGCAGUGUUUGGUUAGCACAACCACAGCCACAGGGAAUGAACUGUGCCACUGUACGGUACCUCCCUACACUAUGCUCAUGUCCACAAGAAAGGCUGUAUUCAAACAAGUGUUUGAGCAAAAGAGAGAUCAAGCCCCAAGCCUAACCAACCAAAGCAGUUAUAUUGCUACAAAACCUCUGUGAAAUCAGAUUAGAACAACCUAUUUCAGCUCAGCUUGAAUCACAGCUUUCCUGGGUUUGGCCAAAUUGAAUAAAUCUGCUUCAAAUGGGUUGUCGCACUGAUUUCAUGCUGCCUUAAUUAAACGGUUUCAAAUCAAGGUGACAGUUAAAUCAGUGCAAGAUAAUGUGUAGAAACAAAAUUAUUAUAAUCAACACAUAAGAAGCAGAAGUAAAUCUUUUUGCUGCAUUAACACAGGUCAUGUAAUGGACUGCUAUACAAAGCAUAACAAUUAUUAGAACUGAAGAUAACAUUGUACUUCAAAACUCACAUGGCUUCCAUGACCAAAAACAACUUGCUUAUUUUUAAUCCAGUAACACUGGCUGAUGUAAGGAAAAUGCACUUUCCUCCCUACAACACAAGACCUUCUGAAAUUCUUAUUGUGGCUGCAACAGUUGGUGUGGUAGUUCUCCUCAUCCAUUCCACACUGUUGCCUGACGCAAGCUGCAUCGUGCUGCCCCAACAUGGGAUGCUUUCUCACCAGCUGUGCUGCCUGAUGAUUUCUUUACUACUGUCCUCCAGAAGCAGGCAAGCUUUUCCUGUCAUGUCCCGACAUCCUGAAGAAGACGGGAAACCUAUUGGAUCAUCCCAUAAGAAAGCUUUCUUCUAAUUAGUAAUUUGAAAUACGUUUCAAAAGUGGUGAAAUCCUAUUGCUAAAAAAUGCCACUGACUGCUGAUGCUCUGGAUAGCACAUAUCCAAACACAGACAGGACAGAGCAAUUAUGUUUUCUCUUUGGGUACCAGACUUCUGUUCCUCUACAAGACACAAGCACUCAGAGUCUAUUGUUUUAUUUAUUUAUUUUUAGCUCCCAUAUCUCUAAUACUGUUUUGAGAAAAUUAUUCCCACUUCUUCUCGAGGGGAAUGUAUUUACUUUUUUAGUGAAUGGCAGUACAUUUUGCCUGUACAAAAGGGAGCUCCCCCAGAUCAGGAUGUAAAGACUAACUUUGACAACUCCACGAGACAGUCUUGCUUUGCCUGGCGUGCCAGGUUUAUUUUACAUAAUUUAUAUUUCAGAUAUCUUCAAAUAUUUCCUCUGCUUUGGUUAAGCUACUGACACACGUAAUGCAUUUUUGCAUUUUUGGAUGGAAGCAGAACAUUCCCGAGUAGAGAGGGUGCCAGACUGAAAAGCUGUUUUUAAAAAAUCCUUAAUAUUAUUAGACUAUUAGUAGUGAAUGAUUCUGGCAGUUUAAUUGCUAUUUCAUAAUACUCCGUGUUUACUUUUUGGAUUCUGCCUAGAUUAUGUAAACAGACACCAGGUUAAUUUUUACUUGCAGCUAAACUUUAUUUUCAACCACCACUGCCAAUCUUGGCUCCUUUGUGCUAACACAGUAUUUUGGUGCGAGUAUUUGUAAGCAUAACAAAGAUUGUGAAAACCUAAACAAACAGAAUAAGGGAA
ensembl:lncRNA